rnacentral:rRNA from 1 species
UACGAAGGGGGCUAGCGUUGCUCGGAAUCACUGGGCGUAAAGGGCGCGUAGGCGGUCUGCUAAGUUGGAUGUGAAAACUCUGGGCUUAACCCAGAGCCUGCAUUCAAUACUGACAGGCUAGAGUUCUGGAGGGGAUAGCGGAAUUCCUGGUGUAGCGGUGAAAUGCGUAGAUAUCAGGAGGAACACCGGUGGCGAAGGCGGCUAUCUGGACAGAGUCUGACGCUGAGGCGCGAAAGCUAGGGGAGCAAACAGG